rnacentral:rRNA from 1 species
UACGUAGGUGGCAAGCGUUGUCCGGAUUUACUGGGCGUAAAGAGCGCGCAGGCGGUCGUUCAAGUCGCGUGUGAAAGCCCCCGGCUCAACUGGGGAGGGUCACGCGAUACUGAUCGACUCGAAGGCAGGAGAGGGUAGUGGAAUUCCCGGUGUAGUGGUGAAAUGCGCAGAUAUCAGGAGGAACACCCGUAGCGAAGGCGGCACUCUGGGCCGAUACUGACACUGAGGAGCGAAAGCGUGGGGAGCGAACAGG